GAUGAACGCUGGCGGCGUGCUUAACACAUGCAAGUCGAACGGAAAGGCCCAAGCUUGCUUGGGUACUCGAGUGGCGAACGGGUGAGUAACACGUGGGUGAUCUGCCCUGCACUUCGGGAUAAGCCUGGGAAACUGGGUCUAAUACCGGAGAGGACCACUUCUUGGAUGUUGUGGUGGAAAGUUUUUGCGGUGUGGGAUGAGCUCGCGGCCUAUCAGCGUGUUGGUGGGGUAAUGGCCUACCAAGGCGUCGGCGGGUAGCCGGCCUGAGAGGGUGUACGGCCACAUUGGGACUGAGGUACGGCCCAGGCUCCUACGGGAGGCAGCAGUGGGGAAUAUUGCACCAGGGGCGCAAGCCUGAUGCAGCGGCGCCGCGUGGGGGAUGACGGCCUUCGGGUUGUAAACUCCCUUCGCUAGGGACCAAGCGUUUUGUGACGGUACCUGGAGAAGAAGCACCGGCUAACUACGUG
rnacentral:rRNA from 1 species